rnacentral:rRNA from 1 species
GACGAACGCUGGCGGCGUGCCUAACACAUGCAAGUCGAGCGGGGUCCAUCCAGUGGCAACACUGGGGAAGACCUAGCGGCGAACGGGUGAGUAACACGUGAGGAACUUGCCCCGGAGUACGGGAUAACUCGAGGAAACUCGAGCUAAUACCGUAUGCCCUCUUCUGGUCGCAUGGCCGGAUGAGGAAAGAUUUAUCGCUCCGGGAGAGCCUCGCGGCCUAUCAGCUAGUUGGUGGGGUAACGGCCCACCAAGGCAUCGACGGGUAGCUGGUCUGAGAGGACGAUCAGCCACACUGGGACUGAGACACGGCCCAGACUCCUACGGGAGGCAGCAGUGGGGAAUCUUGCGCAAUGGGCGAAAGCCUGACGCAGCAACGCCGCGUGCGGGAUGAAGGCCUCGGUUGUAACCGCUUUCAGCAGGGAAGGAAACUAGACGGUACCUGCAGAAGAAGCCCGGCCAACUACGUAGCCAGCAGCCGCGGUAA